CAGCCGUAAACUAUGCUCGCUAGGUGUCAGGCAUGGCGCGACCGUGUCUGGUGCCGCAGGGAAGCCGUGAAGCGAGCCACCUGGGAAGUACGGCCGCAAGGCUGAAACUUAAAGGAAUUGGCGGGGGAGCACAACAACGGGUGGAGCCUGCGGUUUAAUUGGACUCAACGCCGGGAAGCUCACCGGAUAAGACAGCGGAAUGAUUGCCGGGCUGAAGACUCUGCAUGACUAGCUGAGAGGAGGUGCAUGGCGUGUGACUGU
rnacentral:rRNA from 1 species